GUAAGGUUUCACCAAAACCACCUAGGGAAUGGCUAGGCUGCAGCAGCGAUGACGGUCGUGGCAAGCUGCGAUAAGCCCGGGGUAGCCGCAGGUCAGGCGUUGAACCCGGGAUCACCGAAUCACGCCGGGUAAAACCGGCGAGCACACGCGGGGAACUGAAAUAUCUUAGUACCCGCAGGAAAAGAAAUCAUUAGAGAUGCGGCUAGUAAAGCGAUUGAAGGCCGCACAGGGCAAACCGAAUCCCUGCUUGCAAAAGCAGCGGAGAUGUGGUGCAUGUUUCAUCCAUUGGAGGAUCCGAAGGCGCUGGAAAGCGCCGCCACAGAGAGUGACAGCCUCGUAGGUAAAAUCCAGUGGAGAUGAUUGCGAGAGAGUAGUUCUGCCUGGGAACGCAGAACGAACACGGGGGCAUUAAACUCCAACCCUAAAUAUUGACUGCAGACCGAUAGCGAACAAGUAGCGCGAGCGAAAGCUGAAAAGCACUCACACGUGUGAGAGUGAAAUAGAUCUGAAACUAGGUGGUGACAUGAAGGUAAGGCGCGGAAGUUAUGAAGCAUUGGGAAGCGGGAAUUCGAGAGGAUUCAGCGACCGAUGUGGAACAGUGUCUUAUCAUUCUUCUUGAAGCAAGAGCCAGGGAGUGUAUGGGUGUGGCGAGACGGAAGUCGCAGCGAAAGCGAGUGCGCGCAACAUGUGAGGCGCCCGGUACGAAAGUGCCGCAGUCACAUCCAUCCGACCCGAAGCCUUUGUGAACUACGCGUGACCAGGACGAAGCUAGGCUAACGCCUGGUGGAGGUCCGCCACCUGUCAUGGCAUGUCCUGUUGGGUGAGUUACGGGUAGCGGCGAUAUACCAUUCGAACAAGGCAAUAGCGGGUCCCCUCUGAAGUAUCUUUAGGAUAGCUUUGGGCGAGCUUGCGCGUGCGGUAGAGCUACCGACAGAGUGCAAGGGGUCGAAAGGCCUCACACUCUUAUCAAACUCCGAAUGCAUGCGCUGCGUAGACCCCAAGAGUCGGCGAGGCUGGGUAAGCUAGCCCCGCGAGACUGCAAAGAUAGUGACUAAGGUUAAGGUCCCCAAAUCCUAAUUGAGUGUAUCGAAGGCGGGGAGUACCACAGACAGCUGGGAGGUAGGCUCAGAAGCAGCCAUCCUUUAAAAAACGCGUAAUAGCGUACCAGUAGAGGUAUUCCUUUCCGAAAAUAUACGGGGCUAAAUUAGGUACCGAUACCUUAGAGUCAGCAAUGACUGGUAAGAGGGCGUUCGGCGCGCCUAGAAGCAUGCGCGAAAGCACAUGUGGAGCGCGCUGUAGGGAAUAUCCUGGUAUUAGUAACAUCAUAUAUUGGUGAGAAUCCAAUACACCGAAAGAACACGGUUUUCUUCGCAACGCUCGUCAGCGGAGAGUUAGGCGAUCCUAAGCUGCAGGCCAAUCACCAUGCAGCAAAAGGGAAGCUGGUUAAUAUUCCAGCCCCAUACAUGUAGGCGCGGCGACGCAAGGCAAAUUUCUGACGCCUGGGGAUAUGUCCGCAAGAAAGUGCAAAGGGCUAUGGAGUCUCGUUAUGAGGAGAAGUAGCUAAAUGAACUGCCGGACUGAGUUCCUGGGCCCGUGAAAAGGGAAUCUGCAACGAUCAUGUAUGCCCGUACCUAGAACUAGUACAAGUGUUUCUAGCUGAAAAGGCUAAGGUGUGACGGAAUAACCAAGGUUAGGGAAAUCGGCCAAUUAGUGGCGUAAGGUAACGAGAAGCCAUGUCUGCGUAUCGGAUGCGCAGAUAGCAUUAACAAGGGGACAACGACUGUUUAUCAAAAACACAACUCACCGCAAAGCGGAAACGCUAAGUACAGUGGGUGACGCCUGCUCACCGCCAGUACGUGAACACCUGUUUCAACAGGAAUAAGCGCUGGCAAAGAGCGGGAGUAACUCUGACUCUCUUGAGGUAGCGUAAUACCUCGUCACUUAAUAGGUGACUUGCAUGAAUGGCGUAACGAUUGUCCCACUGUCCCAACCUUGGAUCCGGUGAACUUACUGCGCGGUGAAUAUGCCGCGAUCCCUCUGUGGGAAAUGAAGUCUCCAUGAAGCUUAACUACAGCCUGCGGUUGCUGUACGAUGGGUUAUACAUAGCGUAAUUGGGAGCGUCGAUGCGUUCGCUGCGGCGGGCGCGGAGCGACAAUGUAACACCAAUUUUAACCUGUUGCCCGGCUAACCCGAAAGGGGACAGCUACAGGUGGGUAGUUAGACUGGACGGUUGCUUUCGAUAAGGAAACGAAAGUGACCAAAGCUCAGCUUAGGCGGUUUGGGAAACCGCUGGUAAGCACAAAGGCAAAUGCUGGGCUGACUGUAUGCUGAAAAGCGUGGCAUGCAGAUACGAAAGUAGGGCUUAACGAACGUUGGUAGCCCUUUUAAUGGGGCUCCAAGCUGUCAAACAAGUUACUCUGGAGGUAACCGAUUCGUCGCCGGUGAGAGUUCGCAUCGACCUGGCGGAUUGAUACAUCGAUAUGGGCCUAUGUUAUCCUGGUGGUGCACAAGCCACCAAGGGUUGGACUGCUCGUCCAUUAAAAACAUACACGAGCUGAGUUCAGUACGUCGCGAGACAGUACGGUAAUAUCUACAGGGGGUGUUAGUGCCAGAGGAUAAGAUCCCCUUAAUACGAGAGGAACUGGGGAUCGGCGCCUCUAGUGUACCGGUUGUGAAUGCAUUGCCGGGUAGCCACGCGCCAAACGGAUAAGUCCUGAAAGCAUCUAAGGACGAAGCUGUACCCGAAACGAGGCACUAGGGCGGUCGCAAUAGACGACUUUGAUAGGACGGGUGCGUAAGCAGAGAGCGCAAGCGAUCUGCGAACAUUCCGUUACUAAAGCCUGAUUGAAACCUUCU
rnacentral:rRNA from 1 species